ACAACACAAGUCAUCAAGUGGCGCUCAAAGACUGAAGGGGUUUUUGUGUUUUUGGAGUGGAAAUGAAGAGGAAUGUCCCAAGUUGACCGCUUGUGACAUCGCAGAAAAGGACCGGUCCGCAGAGUCCCUAAAGCGCCGUAGAGCAGCGUGCGCCAUGGACCGCUCCGUGCAGGAACUCUUCCUCAACUUCAUGAUCGUCCUGGUCACCGUGCUGCUGAUGUGGCUGCUGGUCAAGACCUACCAGGACUAACCUGCUUUCCCACUUCCUGUGUGGGGACUCACACACAGUUUUAGUAUGAAAGCAAAAGGCGGACAGCUUGUAAAUCUCCACUGUGUAUGGAAUGCGCCGUAGAGGUGUCGGUUUCUCAGAUCUGGACGGCUACAGGAAGGGCCUUAUCAGGACCCGAAAUCUACGAGCAGAGAGGGGGCAAACCCGACACCGCUCCAAGCACCUUUUGUUUGAACUGUUUAUGACCCCAGUGCAGCUGCUGCAUAAUGAGACCCCCUCCCCUUAGAAGCAGCUGCAGCUAUGUAAUCAGGGAA